rnacentral:rRNA from 1 species
GGACUACCGGGGUUUCUAAUCCUGUUUGCUCCCCUUGCUCUCGCGCCUCAGCGUCAGGUAUAAACUAGAAAACCGCUUUCGCCACAGGUGUUCUUCCACAUAUCUACGCAUUUCACCGCUACACGUGGAAUUCCGUUUUCUCCGUCAAUCCUCUAGAAACACAGUUUCAAAUGCAGCUCCGAAGUUGAGCUUCGGAAUUUCACAUCUGACUUUCGCUCCCGCCUACGCGCCCUUUACGCCCAAUAAUUCCGAUUAAUGCUUGCACUCUCCGUAUUACCGCGGCUGCUGGCAC